rnacentral:lncRNA from 10 species
CUUUCUUGUCCUCAUUAUGGACAAAAAGGGAGAAAGAUGCAUGAAUCUAGAUUAAGGAGAGCUUGUAAAUUAAUGAUGCAAAUUUCAAAUAUUUUCAGUGUUGUAGUUCUUCAUUUUUUGUAAAUUGGGAGGAAGUGAUAUCCACCAAGAGUGAGAAGAGAAGGGAAAGGGUCUGACUUUACAAAUAUUGAAAAAACAGGGUGACUAAAAAUAAAUCGUAAGGUAUUUUUGGCAGGGUUUAAAUUAAAACUGGCAUUAGGAUCUAUAAAUGUACAGUUGUACAAGUCAUCAGAUUAGGAAACUCAGUAGAUUACAUGAAGGUGAAGAACUGGUGGCCAGGCAAUGGCUCACACCUGUAAGCACAGCACUUUGGGAGCCCGAGGCAGGCAGAUCACUCAAUGAGGCAGAUCACUUGAGGCUAGAGUUUGAGACCAGCCUGGAUAACAUGGCAAAACUCCAUCUCUACUAAAAAUACCAAACGUUGGCCAAGUGUGGUGGCAGGCACCCAUAAUCCCAGCUACUCAGGAGGCUAAGGCAGGGGGAUUGCUUGAGCCUGGGAGGUGGACAUUGCAGUGAGCCGAGAUUGCACCACUGCACUUCAGCCUGGGUGACAGAAGAGACUCUGUCUAAAAAAAAAAAAAAAAAAAAGGAAGGAAAGAAAGAAAGAAUUGGAAUUUAUCCAUCUCAAAUUUUUUCAACGGGAUGCUUAAUGAAUGUACAAAAGGGGUAAACCAAUAUAAGGUUUGGUGCAGACAUGGGUAUAAAAAGAUAGGCUUUAAAAUACAACCUAGAAGGAGAGCAUAAUAGAUGCAGUAAUUUCCUGUGGGUUUCAAGGAACUAGAUAUUCUGAUGAGGCAGAAAAUUAAAUGCAGACUGGUGGGCGAACUGUAACAUUAGUGGAUUAUGGCAGAGAAUGUGGGAUCUACAUCAGCACCUUCACAGGAAGAGCUGCUUCCAAGUACGACAUCUUGAAAAAUGGUCCUGGGAUUGACAUCUGAGGCAGGGAAUACAAGAGAAAGUGAGUGAAAGAUGUAUAAAAGGCCGGGUGCGGUGGUUCACGCCUGUAAUACCAGCAUUUUGAGAGGCCAAGGCGGGCGGAUCACGAGGUCAGGAGUUCGAGAGCGACCUGGCCAAUAUGGUGAAACCCCAUCUCUACUAAAAGAACAAAAAUUAGCCAGGCAUGGUGGCAUGCACCUGUAAUCCCAGCUACUUGGGAGGCUGAGGCAGAAGAAUCGCUUGAACCCGGGAGGUGGAGGUUGCAGUGAGCUGAGAUUGUGCCAUUGCACUCC